rnacentral:rRNA from 1 species
UACAGAGGUCCCGAGCGUUGUUCGGAUUCAUUGGGCGUAAAGGGUGCGUAGGUGGCGCUGUAAGUGGGGUGUGAAAUCCCGGGGCUUAACCCCGGGACUGCAUUCCAUACUGCGGUGCUUGAGGACUGGAGAGGAGACUGGAAUUUACGGUGUAGCAGUGAAAUGCGUAGAUAUCCGGAGGAACACCGGUGGCGAAGGCGGCUUCCUGGACCGACACUGACGCUGAGGCGCGAAAGCUAGGGGAGCAAACGGG